rnacentral:rRNA from 1 species
UACGGAGGAUCCAAGCGUUAUCCGGAAUCAUUGGGUUUAAAGGGUCCGUAGGCGGUUUAUUAAGUCAGUGGUGAAAGCCCAUCGCUCAACGAUGGAACGGCCAUUGAUACUGAUAGACUUGAAUUAUUGGGAAGUAACUAGAAUAUGUAGUGUAGCGGUGAAAUGCUUAGAUAUUACAUGGAAUACCAAUUGCGAAGGCAGGUUACUACCAAUAUAUUGACGCUGAUGGACGAAAGCGUGGGGAGCGAACGGG